GCUCCCUUCGUCUAGCGGUCCAGGACGCCGCCCUCUCACGGCGGAAACAGGGGUUCGAUUCCCCUAGGGAGUGCCA
rnacentral:tRNA from 1 species